UUAACUUAAAGGAAUUGACGGAAGGUCACCACCAGGGGUGGAGCCUGCGGCUUAAUUUGACUCAACACGGGGAAACUCACCAGGUCCAGAYRMRAURAGGAUUGACAGAUUGAGAGCUCUUUCUUGAUUUUUCAGGGUGGUGGUGCAUGGCCGUUCUUAGUUSGUGGRGUGAYUUGUCUGCUUAAUUGCGAUAACGARCGAGACCUUCCYCUGCUAAAUAGCCMGGMUAGCUUUGGCUGGGCGCCGGCUUCUUAGAGAGACUAUCAACUCAAGUUGAUGGAAGUUGGAGGCAAUAACAGGUCUGUGAUGCUUCCUCCGGCCUAUUGAUAUGCUUAAGUUCAGCGGGUAUCYCUACCUGAUCCGAGGUCAAAAGUGAGAAGAAGGUCUUGAUGGAUUGCUGGCCUCUUUAGCUAGUUGCAAGCGCAAAAAUGUGCUGCGCUCCGAAACCAGUAGGCCGGCUGCCAAUCGUUUUAAGGCGAGUCUUUGGGCAAAAGCCAAAGACAAACGCCCAACACCAAGCAAAGCUUGAGGGUACAAAUGACGCUCGAACAGGCAUGCCCUUUGGAAUACCAAAGGGCGCAAUGUGCGUUCAAAGAUUCGAUGAUUCACUGAAUUCUGCAAUUCACACUACGUAUCGCAUUUCGCUGCGUUCUUCAUCGAUGCCAGAACCAAGAGAUCCGUUGUUGAAAGUUGUAAAUGAUUUACAUUUGUUAUACUGACGCUGAUUGCAACUGCAUAAAAAAGGUUUAUGGUGUGGUCCUGGUGGCGGGCGAACCCGCCCAGGAAACAACAAGUGCGCAAAAGACAUGGGUGAAAAAUAAUUCAGCUUCCCCGCCAAAACUGGCGGUUGCAGCCUUCAUAUUUUUUGUGUAAUGAUCCCUCCGCAGGUCCCCUACG
rnacentral:rRNA from 1 species